GUUUAUGUGAAGGAGAGAUGUCUUUGGGGGGCAUUUCUGUGAAGGAGUGAUGUCUAUGAGGGGGUUCAUGUGAAGGAGUGAAUUCUAUGAUGGGAUUUCUGUGAAGGAGUGAUGUGUAUGAGGGGGUUUACGUGAAGGAGUGAUGUCUAUGAAGGAGUUUAUGUAAAGGAUGGAUGUCUAUGAGAGGGUAUAUGUGAAGGAGUGAUGUUUAUUGGCAGUUUUCUGUGAAGGAAUGAUGUCUGUGGGGGGUUUAUGUGAAGAAGUGAUGUGUAUGGGGAGGUUUAUGUGAAGAAGUGAUGUCUUUGAAGGAGUUUAUGUAAAGGAUGGAUGUCUAUGAGAGGGUAUAUGUGAAGGAGUGAUGUCUAUGAGGGGGGUUUCUGUGAAGGAGUGAUGUCUAUGAGGGUGUUUAUGUGAAGGAGUGAUGACUAUGAGGGGGUUUCUGUGAAGUAGUGAUGUCUAUGACAAGGUUUAUGUGAAGGAGUGAUGUCUAUGAGGAGGUUUCUGUGAAGAGGUGAUGUCUAUGUGGGGGUUUGUGUGAAGGAGAGAUGUCUUUGGGGGGGUUUCUGUGAAGGAGUGAUGUCCAUGAGGAGGUUCAUGUGAAGGAGUGAUGUCUAUGAGGAGGUUUAUGUGAAGGAGUGACGUCUAUGAGGGGGGGUAUGUGAAGGAGUGAUGUCUAUGAGGGGGUUUAUGUGAAGGAGUGAUGUGUAUGAGGGGGUUUCUGUGAAGGAGUGAUGUGUAUGAGGGGGUUUCUGUG
rnacentral:lncRNA from 1 species